UCUUGGAUUUAGAGUCUGGGCUCAGAGGCUCUUAGCUUUCACGAAAGAGAGAGCGAGAGAGGGAGAGACAGAGAGGGAGGAGGACAGAAUGGGACCGGGAGGGCCUGGCCCUGGACCAGGUGGACCAGGUGGCGGUUUCGGGCCAGGACCGGGUUGGGGGCCGGGACCAGGUGGACCAGGUGGCGGUUUCGGGCCGGGACCAGGUGGACCAGGUGGCGGUUUCGGGCCGGGACCGGGUUGGGGGCCAGGACCGGGUGGACCGGGUGGCGGUUUCGGACCAGGACCGGGUGGACCCGGUGGUGGUUUCGGACCAGGGUUUGGUGGACCGUGCGGCUGCUUAUCGUCCUGUUUGUACUCCUUGUGUUGCUGCUGGUUGCUACGGGAUUGUUGUGGCCCAUUUUUCGGUGGGCCUCCACGUUGACCGUGCCUGUCGAACCGUUGGAUGAGAUCAGAUGUAUGAUAAUUAUAGCAGAUGGACGUUUAUGCUUCUUCACAAUAAAGACCGCACAUUGUUUGCUUCAUAUCCUAUGCAUGUCUUGUAUAGACCUAUUUUAUUUCUUUGUAUGGAAAUUAUGGAUUUGGCAUAGAAGUGGAAUCAACCUGUCUAUGACAGCUAUGUCUUGGAGUUAGGUUGUAUUUUUUUUAUGAAAAAAAAAUGAUUGAUAGUCUUUCGCAACCUCAAUCAUUGGAUUGCUUUUUGCACAUUUUGCAAAGCACGGCAUGAACUUCAUCAUCUAUGCCAUGGAUGGAUGGAAAAGAUUCGUCAUGCUUUGAAAGAUGUACAAAAUAUGAUCCAAUGAUUGAGUUUGUGAAAGAAGAUCAAUCAUUCUUUCAUACGAAAGAUACAAUUCAAAACCCCGUGUCUUAUUAGUUCUCAAGCAAUUUAUGCCAUCGGCCGAUUAAGGUCUCCAAAAUUAUAUAGAUUGUUUUCGUGAUCGAACUA